rnacentral:lncRNA from 1 species
GUAUAAUGCAGGUUGUUAACCAAUGGUUUAUAAUCAAAAUUUAAUAUGGCUGGCGGUAAAGGUAAAGAGAAGUUUAAAGGAACAAACAUUAGAGAGCGUUUUGUCAAUUAAAGUGACUGCUACAGUUGCCGAAAUAAGAAAAGGAAUAAUGACUUUAUUAAAAUACGCACUCGACAGAUCAAAUGGUGGUGGUCGGCGCGUAAAAAGCGAUUCACCCGAUGUAUAAUAUUCAUACUUUUUCCUAGUUGUUCUGGAACUAUUGAUAAUAGUUAUUAUUGAUAAAUUGAUAAAUAUAUUACUGAUAAAUAAAA